rnacentral:rRNA from 1 species
UGGGGAAUAUUGGACAAUGGAGGCAACUCUGAUCCAGCCAUGCCGCGUGAAUGAUGAAGGCCUUCGGGUUGUAAAGUUCUUUUAGUUGGGAAAAUAAUGAUGGUACCAGCAGAAAAAGCUCCGGCUAACUUCGUGCCAGCAGCCGCGGUAAUACGAAGGGGGCUAGCGUUGUUCGGAAUUACUGGGCGUAAAGCGUUUGUAGGCGGUUAUCCAAGUUAGUGGUGAAAUCCCAGGGCUUAACCCUGGAACUGCCAUUAAAACUAGAUAGCUAGAGAAUGUUAGAGGAAAGUGGAAUUCCUAGUGUAGGAGUGAAAUCCGUAGAGAUUAGGAGGAAUAUCGAUGGCGAAGGCAGCUUUCUGGGACAUUUCUGACGCUGAGAAACGAAAGCGUGGGUAGCAAACAG